AGAGCGAACGCUGGCGGCAGGCCUAACACAUGCAAGUCGAACGGACUCUUCGGAGUUAGUGGCGGACGGGUGAGUAACACGUGGGAACGUGCCUUUAGGUUCGGAAUAGCUCCUGGAAACGGGUGGUAAUACCGAAUGUGCCCUUCGGGGGAAAGAUUUAUCGCCUUUAGAGCGGCCCGCGUCUGAUUAGCUUGUUGGUGAGGUAAUGGCUCACCAAGGCUACGAUCAGUAGCUGGUCUGAGAGGAUGACCAGCCACAUUGGGACUGAGACACGGCCCAAACUCCUACGGGAGGCAGCAGUGGGAAUCUUGCGCAAUGGGCGAAAGCCUGACGCAGCCAUGCCGCGUGUAUGAUGAAGGUCUUAGGAUUGUAAAAUACUUUCACCGGUGAAGAUAAUGACUGUAGCCGGAGAAGAAGCCCCGCUAACUUCGUGCCAGCAGCCGA
rnacentral:rRNA from 1 species